rfam:Clostridium sp. CAG:411 genomic scaffold, scf247
AAUAUCAGUAGAGGUGCGUGUUUUAAGAGUACCUUGCAGGAUGCAGCAGGUGCAGGUGAAUGCAGGGAAAAGGAGAACAUGCCGAAGUUGUAAAGUGCCUGUCAUUUUAUAGCUGGGCGUAUGCUUAAGAGGCAUGCGACUGUCAUCGACGAAAGUGAUGGAGUGCUACGUAAGAG